rnacentral:rRNA from 1 species
ACGAACGCUGGCGGCGUGCUUCACCCAUGCAAGUCGAACGGAAAGGCCCUGCUUUUGUGGGGUGCUCGAGUGGCGAACGGGUGAGUAACACGUGAGUAACCUGCCCUUGACUUUGGGAUAACUUCAGGAAACUGGGGCUAAUACCGGAUAGGAGCUCCUGCUGCAUGGUGGGGGUUGGAAAGUUUCGGCGGUUGGGGAUGGACUCGCGGCUUAUCAGCUUGUUGGUGGGGUAGUGGCUUACCAAGGCUUUGACGGGUAGCCGGCCUGAGGGUGACCGGCCACAUUGGGACUGAGAUACGGCCCAGACUCCUACGGGAGGCAGCAGUGGGGAAUAUUGCACAAUGGGCGGAAGCCUGAUGCAGCAACGCCGCGUGCGGGAUGACGGCCUUCGGGUUGUAAACCGCUUUCGCCUGUGACGAAGCGUGAGUGACGGUAAUGGGUAAAGAAGCACCGGCUAACUACGUG